CUUAGUGGCGAACGGGUGAGUAACGCGUGAGUAACCUGCCCUGGAGUGGGGGACAACAGUUGGAAACGACUGCUAAUACCGCAUAAGCCCACGGAUCCGCAUGGAUCUGCGGGAAAAGGAUUUAUUCGCUUCAGGAUGGACUCGCGUCCAAUUAGCUAGUUGGUGAGGUAACGGCCCACCAAGGCGACGAUUGGUAGCCGGACUGAGAGGUUGAACGGCCACAUUGGGACUGAGACACGGCCCAGACUCCUACGGGAGGCAGCAUG
rnacentral:rRNA from 1 species